rnacentral:rRNA from 1 species
UACGUAGGGUGCAAGCGUUGUCCGGAAUUAUUGGGCGUAAAGAGCUCGUAGGCGGUUUGUCGCGUCUGCUGUGAAAACUCGGGGCUUAACCCCGGGCCUGCAGUGGGUACGGGCAGACUAGAGUGCGGUAGGGGAGACUGGAAUUCCUGGUGUAGCGGUGAAAUGCGCAGAUAUCAGGAGGAACACCAAUUGCGAAGGCAGCUCGCUGGGACGUUACUGACGCUGAGACGCGAAAGCGUGGGGAGCAAACAGG